rnacentral:tRNA from 1 species
ACCUGGGUGGCUCAGUCAGUUGAGUGUCUGACUUCAGCUCAGGUCAUGAUCUCAUGGCUCGUAGGUUCGAGCCCUGCAUCAGGCU